rnacentral:tRNA from 1 species
GGUCGUGGCUCAGUGGUGGAGCGCUUGCCUAGCAUACAUGAGGCACUGGGUUCGAUUCUCAGCACCA